rnacentral:misc_RNA from 1 species
ACGCGUACAACAACACCAAACUCAGACACGGCGGCUGCUCCCUCUGUCUUUGGGCGACUGGGACACGGCGCCCGAGUCUGCGAGUGUGUCGACGAGCACGGCCUCUCUCCCUUCUCUCUCUCUCACACACACAUACACACACGCAGAGGGACUCCUUGCGCACAGAACUAGAUUUGCACACACAGUAGGAUAGAAGCGGCAACUCCUGCGCGGCUUGAGGCCACACUGAGAGCAGCAGAAUUCAAGGAAGCCCCAGAAGGCUUUGGCGGAUUGCGAGGACACACGCCAGAGAAACGAGAAGAGAGGUGGACAGCAUAAAAAGAGCCACUUGUUGUGCUCGGCACCUCACGCGUCUCUGUCUGAUUCCUCGUAGGCACUGCGUAUGCAUGCGUACCUGCUCCAGACAGCGCGCACUCAAAGCGGCUCACCCGUGUGCUGCUGCUGACGGCCGCCCCGAUGCGGCUGUGUCGCCCAGCGCUUUUUUCGCCGGCUACUGCGGCUCACCCCAUUCUCGGCUCCCUGCGGCGGCACCGUGGAUGCGGGCUGUGUGGUGGCACGGUGCGCGCAGUGUGCUGGCGUAGUAGCACGCGUGCAUCUGGCCAAGGGCGCCGUCCGCCCUCCAACAGCUCUUUCGUGGAGCCGACGCUGGCGACGUCUGUGCAGCCGGAUGACGGCAGCAAAGCCUCUGCGCCCGCAAUUUCUGCACCACCAGCAGCGACCUCAUCGUCCAUCACCGGCGAUGCGUCUGCGCCUGCGAAGGGCUGCCCUUACCCCGCUGCCUCUGCUGCUGAUGUGCUCCUCUCGCUGAACCACACGCAGCGUCUCCUGCGCCGGUUGCCAGUGGGUGCAUCCCGCUUUCUCUUCCACUACAACGAGCUACCCUCCAACAUACGUGACAAGAUGCCGCUGGUAGUGCAGCAGCAGCAGCAUAGGGCCCGAGGGAGCUCGAAGGAACAGGGACACACCACCAACGCUGCGGCGCCAACACCGGCAUCAGCGCCCGAACAGGGUGCUUUGGCGUCGGCGGAGACUCCAACUGCUGGUGACGCGCCUGGGCGUCGCUCAGGCACCGCUGACUACUCGCGGCUGCUCACUCUGGCUCAGCCUAAGCUGACCGCGUCGGAGAAGACCCUCUUAGCCCUCUUCAGAGGCGCGCAGAAGGAGCGACAACUCGUGAGGCAGCAGCGGCUCAAGGAGCGGCACGGUCGGCUCGUCAUGGAGGGAGGUGGGCGGCGGUCGAGCACCACGCCAAGAUUUGCACCGUCCCUCGUCACCGACCCGCUUCUCCACCUACGCGGCUUGGAGGAGCCGUGCCUGCUCAUCCCCGACACGCGCGGCACUUUCGUGUCCCUCGGAUUGGCAGCCGACUUGCACUCCACCACCGACGCUCCAACUUACCCUACAUCCGCGAGAGCGACUCCCGACGCAGCCAUAAUGGACGGCUUCCAUCUUGGUCUCGCGUGCAUCUCCACUGACUACCGAACCGACUAUGCAAGUCUCCCCCUGUACUACGUGCUCGGUGUUCCGACGGCGCUACUCGGCCUUCUGCGGUCGAGCCCCUCGGUUGGCAAGCAUGAGUUUCACGGAAGUAAAAUCAGGGAUGGGGUGAUCGACAGCGGCGCGUGCACGUGGCGCAAUCGGUGCCAGGCGCCGGUGGAUCUCUCCCGGUGGCUCGUGUUUGACAUAGCCACGUCGCAGGUGCUGCUGCGGCGUCGCGGCGUGCCGCGCACAGAUGAGCCACCGGUGUCCCGCUACGUAUCCGCGCUGGAGGCGCAGGUCUUUCUCGCACACACGUACAGCUUUGACCCUAGGAGCGCUUACGAGGCGGCAGUUCUUCAGGCACGAGUGCCGGCUCAGCCAUCAGCACCGACUGCAGGAUACCGCGCAUCAGCAAGCGCGGCGGCACCGUCCACGAUGAGGAUGAUGUCGCCGCCACUCUACACUCUCUUCUUCUUCACUGUGGCGCGAGGCCAGACGACGACCAACUCCGGCGUCUCUCCCAUUGAUGCGGGGGUGCUCUACCCGACGUGCUUCUCCAGCUACAUGUCGGAGGUGCCGACGACACAGCAGCUGGCAGCUGAAACGGCGGCAGCCGCACAGCGGCUUUGCUUACACCAUGCCGACGCUUCUGAGCCCCUCAUGUUGCUGUCGUCCGCCACGGGUUCCGGCGCUGCGGACAACUCCUCCUUCUUUGUGUCGAUGUCCGGCAAGCGGCUGCGUGCGUGUGCCGGCGCCUCUUCGUCUACAUCCGCGAAUCUAUGGACGGCGCAGCUGCAGAGUCGGAAGCUCGGAGUCAUGGGCGACCCCGCUACCGAGCCUUCCUCAUCGCCUAUCGCGAAGCAGGCGGCACAGAUGACAAAAUAUAGAGCAGCGACGGAAUCCUCUGCUCCCAGGGACCAGGACAGACGAGGCUUGUGUCGGCAAACCACGGCGCGCCAGGAGAUGGCCGAAAGUUUUCGCAUGUGGCGGGAGGCCGUGGCUGCCCGCGUGCCUUCGCCACGCCCGCGUACCUCUACCGGUGCGGCGGCAGUUGCAGAGGACAGCGACCGCUCACAGACACCACCACCCAUGACGGAUGGGCAGCAGCGUCUACCAGCACCAUCACCUCGUCCAGUGCAUCCACGGCAGAUGAGCAAGCCGACAGACUCCGCGCCCUUGUCGCCUGCAUCAUGUGGGCAAGGAAGGGAGGAGGGCCACCGAUUGCGACUGGAGGAGCAACUCGAUACGGAGGGCGCAGCGCUCAUGUCUGAUGGCGGAGCCUUCACCCAAGAGUGGAGCACUGGCUUCCGCUUCGGUCGAGUGGCCAUCGAGGUGGCAGUGCCACUGCUCUUUCCAAUGCCGGCAGUGAUGGCAGACGCAGCGGCGGCUCCCAGCCCUCUGUCACCAGCGCUCUGGGGGGCGCAGGCGAGCGGCGCCGAUGCGGCCGUAGAUGCCCCCGUACGUGUCAUAGACGCACCUUUGGCGGACGCUCUGUGGAGUGCUCUCUACACACCCGCAGCCGCCACCUCGGCGUCACCACCGACUCCGUCGACGCCCUUCAGCUCACCUCCCUCGUUCUUCUCUACUACACCUGACGCCGCCGCCGCCGAGCCAGUCAUGACCUCCGUCCUCCCCACGGCGGAGGAGCGCCUCAUGCUUGCCCGUGAGCGGGUACUGCUACCGUUCCUGCUGCAUCAGCCGCGGUGGGUGCUGCCGGGCAGCGACUCGCUUGGCGCGCUUCCUUCCUCGUCGUCAAGGGUGUCAGACACCGACGACGGUCCGCGGGCUGUCCGUGAGCGCAACAGGCGGCCCCCAGUGAAUGUGUGCCCGUCCCUGUGGCGUCUUCAUGAGUUGGAGCAGUUGUGCGGCUGGCGGCGCCAUCGCUUGCUAUUCAACGACGUCUUCGGCAGCUUCUCGGGCUUGCUUAUCCACGAUCUUUACAUCAUGAUCGGUCGACGGGCACCGGCGAUGCUGCCGGGCUCCAUCUCUGCAACGACUGCAAGGGCGCGGCAGGCGGACAGGCCGCAGGCACCGCUGUCUCCACUUGUUCUGCUCAACGACGUGGCGUAUGUGGAGAGGGUACUGCUGCCGGCGAUGCGCUGCUUUGCGGUCAACACGUGCACGUGGGUGGACAGCGGCCUCUGCGUAUAUCGAUCGCCGUACGAGGUGGUGCCCACGGCGAGGCGCUACGUGGUCGAAGGCGACUUUGCCGCGAGCAAGAAGCCUAGCACUCCAUCAUUGUCAUGUGUCGCACCCCAGCAGUGGCGCUCGCCGGCGUCGUGCGACGGUGAUCCGGCCGACUCGCCCGCGGAAACCGCGGCGGAAGUCGCGCUGCACCACCGGCAGCUGUCGCUCUGGCUGCAGCAGCUGCAGCGCGUCCCACACGAGUUCCUCAGACGGUGGCUGGCGGAGUGCCACGGCCGCACGUCUUUGGACCCAGCAGUGGACGCUCGAGUGAGGAUGAGGACCGGCGGGGUACCAGCAGCGUGUCUCGUGUUCUUCGUCGGCUCAUGCUCCAGUGCAGCGUCGACGCUGUCGUCACGCCCCUCACGGACUCCGCACGGCGGCGACGAUGACGAUCUCGGAGACAGCGGCGCAGUUGCCGCUUCUGCCGAGGCAGUAGAGAAAGGCCUUGAGCGCCUUCUCUCUCUCACCCCUGAUCGCAUUGCUGUAGUCCCGCUGUUGGAUUUCGUGGUGUGGGGCGCGCUGUGCUCCGACUUCUCCGCCGCCUCCGUGCAACACCUCACACACGCCGCGGAUAGAUGCCGUGCGGCGCUUGACGCCCCCGCAGAUGGCUUGGCGGCGGUGAAGUACUGCGUGCGCUACCCUCGACACCUCUGCUGUAACGGCGGCCGAGGAACGACAGUGGCGCUUCUCCGCUGAGCGGCAUGACUGCUGUGACGUUGACGUGUGUGUGGAUGACUUUGAGUGUUCACAUUUUCAGAACGGCAU